rnacentral:rRNA from 1 species
CAGUAGCCGCGGUAAUACGAAGGGUGCAAGCGUUACUCGGAAUUACUGGGCGUAAAGCGUGCGUAGGUGGUGGUUUAAGUCCGUUGUGAAAGCCCUGGGCUCAACCUGGGAAUUGCAGUGGAUACUGGGUCACUAGAGUGUGGUAGAGGAUAGUGGAAUUUCCGGUGUAGCAGUGAAAUGCGUAGAGAUCGGAAGGAACAUCUGUGGCGAAGGCGACUAUCUGGGCCAUUACUGACACUGAGGCACGAAAGCGUGGGGAGCAAACAGGAUUAGAUACCCCGGUAGUCCCUGUCUAUUAUAC